CGGCGGCGGCGGCAGUGGCACGACAACAUCUAACGGGGACGAUGAGAUGCGCGACUUGCGGCGACAACCUCCGACCGCAAAACAAGAUUCAUGGGAAGCUCUCUCCCCCUGCUGUUGGAUUCCAGGUGAUCGUCAUCUGGCCUCGUCGUUGCCUUCCGGUUCGCUAGUUUAUAUGGAUGGGACUGAGAGACAUGCAUCAGUACAACGGACCCACCUUCUUUCCAAUUGAUCUUGAAGCCUCGACUCCAAGGGCCAGGCGGCCAGCGGCAUGUGGUUUGUCUCCAUACGAUUUAGUUCCGGUUAUUAUUUUUUCUGAUCUGUUGUUUCCUGGAGAAGAACAUAAUUUCUUUUGUGUCUUAUAUGGAGGCUCUCCUGGUGGCCGACUGCACCUGCACUCGGACAACUGUGAUGAUUCAAUCCUUCCUGUCGGCGACAUACAUCUUACCGCAAACUGCAGAAAAUUUGUGCUUUGGAAAAGAAGUGUGUGUUGACAUCUGGCGAAACAUAUUCAUAUUGGCCGCAAGAUAUACUCUUUUUUACUGUAAUCCAUUUUUGGUGUAAAUAUAUGCUUGAACUGGGAUAUAUAAAAGCAAGUGUGUACUUUUAUU